rnacentral:ncRNA from 1 species
UGGUUGUUUUUACAUUAAUAAGGAAUCUUGUGAAAAUCAAGAGCGGUCCCGCCGCCGUAAUGAUGAGUUAUGACAAAAUGCCACUGGGAAACUGGGAAGGUGUCAAAGCGUUGAAUCUAAGCCGGAAUACUUGCCAUUAUCUUA